rnacentral:rRNA from 1 species
CGGGUGAGUAACGCGUGGAGAACCUGCCGUAUACUGGGGGAUAACACUUAGAAAUAGGUGCUAAUACCGCAUAAGCGCACAGAGCCGCAUGGCUCAGUGUGAAAAACUUCGGUGGUGUAAGAUGGAUCCGCGUCUGAUUAGCUGGUUGGCGGGGUAGAAGCCCACCAAGGCGACGAUCAGUAGCCGGCCUGAGAGGGUGAACGGCCACAUUGGGACUGAGACACGGCCCAAACUCCUACGGAAGGCAGCAG